rnacentral:rRNA from 1 species
GUUGAACGCUGGCGGCAUGCCUAACACAUGCAAGUCGAACGGUAACAGGAAGAGGCUUGCUUCUUGGCUUACGAGGGGCGGGCGUGUGUGAAAUGUCUGUGAAACUGCCUGAUGGAGGGGGAUAACUACUGGAAACGGUAGCUAAUACCGCAUAACUUCGCAAGACCAAAGAUGGAGACCUUCGGGCCUCUUGCCAUCGAAUUUUCCCAGAUUGGAUUAGCUAGUAGGUAGGGUAACGGCUUACCUAGGCGACGAUCCCUAGCGGGUCUGAGAGGAUGAUCGGCCACACUGGAACUGAGACACGGUCCAGACUCCUACGGGAGGCAGCAGUGGGGAAUCUUGCACAAUGGGCGAAAGCCUGAUGCAGCAAUGCCGCGUGUAUGAAGAAGGCCUUCGGGUCGUAAAGCACUUUUAGCGGGGAGGAAGGGAGUAAAGUUAAACCCUUCGCGCAUUGACGUUACCUGAAGAAGAAGCCACGGCUAACUACGUG